AACCUCCAGACGUCUAGUAAGGUCACUGGGCCUGGGGCAGAGGCUGUCCAAAUUGUGGCAAAAAACACAGUCACUCUGCAGGUUCAAGCAACACCUCCUCAGCCCAUCAAAGUACCACAGUUUAUCCCUCCUCCUAGACUCACUCCACGUCCAAACUUUCUUCCACAGGUUCGACCCAAGCCUGUGGCCCAGAAUAACAUUCCUAUCGCUCCAGCGCCUCCUCCCAUGCUUGCAGCUCCUCAGCUUAUCCAGAGGCCUGUCAUGCUGACCAAGUUUACACCCACAACCCUCCCCACAUCCCAGAAUUCCAUCCACCCUGUCCGUGUUGUCAAUGGACAGACUGCAACCAUAGCCAAAACGUUCCCCAUGGCCCAGCUCACCAGCAUUGUCAUAGCGACUCCAGGGACCAGACUCGCUGGACCUCAGACUGUACAGCUUAGCAAACCAAGCCUGGAGAAACAG
rnacentral:lncRNA from 1 species